CCGGCGCACGGGUGCGUAACGCGUAUGCAACCUACCCUGUACUGAGGUAUAGCCCAGAGAAAUUUGGAUUAACCCCUCAUGGUAUUAAAGAGUCGCAUGAUUUUUUAAUUAAAGGUUACGGUACAGGAUGGGCAUGCGUCCUAUUAGCUAGAUGGUAAGGUAACGGCUUACCAUGGCUACGAUAGGUAGGGGGCCUGAGAGGGUGGUCCCCCACACUGGUACUGAGACACGGACCAGACUCCUACGGGAGGCAGCAGUGAGGAAUAUUGGUCAAUGGGCGCAAGCCUGAACCAGCCAUGCCGCGUGCAGGAAGAAUGCCCUAUGGGUUGUAAACUGCUUUUAUUUAGGAAUAAACCUUUCUACGUGUAGGAAGCUGAAGGUACUGAAUAAAUAAGCACCGGCUAACUCCGUGCCAGCAGCCGCGGUAAUACGGAGGGUGCAAGCGUUAUCCGGAAUCAUUGGGUUUAAAGGGUCCGCAGGCGGAUUUAUAAGUCAGUGGUGAAAUCCUAUCGCUUAACGAUAGAACUGCCAUUGAUACUGUAAGUCUUGAAUUCGGUCGAAGUGGGCGGAAUGUGUAGUGUAGUGGUGAAAUGCAUAGAUAUUACACAGAACACCGAUAGCGAAGGCAGCUCACUAGGCCUGGAUUGACGCUCAGGGACGAAAGCGUGGGGAUCAAACAGGAUUAGAUACCCUGGUAGUCCACGCUGUAAACGAUGAUUACUCGUUUUCGGCGAUACACAGUCGGAGACUAAGCGAAAGUGAUAAGUAAUCCACCUGGGGAGUACGAUCGCAAGGUUGAAA
rnacentral:rRNA from 1 species